GAUGAAGAACGUAGUGAAAUGCGAUAAGUAGUGUGAAUUGCAGAAUUCAGUGAAUCAUCGAAUCUUUGAACGCACAUUGCGCCCGCCAGUAUUCUGGCGGGCAUGCCUGUUCGAGCGUCAUUUCAACCAUCAAGCCCCAGGCUUGUGUUGGGGACCUGCGGCUGCCGCAGGCCCUGAAAACCAGUGGCGGGCUCGCUGUCACACCGGGCGUAGUAGAUUUUAUCUCGCUCAGGGCGUGCUGCGGGUUCCGGCCGUUAAAAAGCCUUUUUUACCCAAGGUUGACCUCGGAUCAGGUAGGAAGACCCGCUGAACUUAAGCAUAUCAAUAAGCGGAGGA
rnacentral:misc_RNA from 1 species